UUCGAACACAUUACUCUAUGGGAGCCAGAC
rnacentral:piRNA from 1 species